GGUCAGCCAGGACACAAAGGUGAAGCAGGGAGUCCAGGAUUACCCGGCUUCCCAGGUCCAAAAGGGCCAUCGGGUCCGUCUGGUCCAAUUGGCCCAGAGGGCAAACAAGGCAUGUCAGGAAAACCAGGAGACAGAGGACAGAAGGGAGAAAAGGGUGAUAAUGGAAUAAAAGGAGACAAAGGACCCGUUGGUGAUCCGGGCAUUCCGGGUAACCCUGGGCCUCCCGGCAGGAAGGGUCACACAGGAAUGAUGGGCAUGUCGGGACCCCCAG